rnacentral:tRNA from 1 species
GGCUGGUUAGCUCAGUCAGUUGAGCGUGGCAAUAACAAUGCCAAGGUCACGGGUUCAAUUCCCAUUCGGUCC